GGCCUGCGCGGAAGAUGUAACGGGGCUAAACCAUGCACCGAAGCUGCGGCAGCGACACUGUGUGUUGUUGGGUAGGGGAGCGUUCUGUAAGCCUGUGAAGGUGUGUCGUGAGGCAUGCUGGAGGUAUCAGAAGUGCGAAUGCUGACAUAAGUAACGAUAAAGCGGGUGAAAAGCCCGCUCGCCGGAAGACCAAGGGUUCCUGUCCAACGUUAAUCGGGGCAGGGUGAGUCGACCCCUAAGGCGAGGCCGAAAGGCGUAGUCGAUGGGAAACGGGUUAAUAUUCCCGUACUUGGUGUUACUGCGAAGGGGGGACGGAGAAGGCUAUGUUGGCCGGGCGACGGUUGUCCCGGUUUAAGCGUGUAGGUGUGUGUUCCAGGUAAAUCCGGUUCACUUUAACACUGAGGCGUGACGACGAGGCACUACGGUGCUGAAGCAACAAAUGCCCUGCUUCCAGGAAAAGCCUCUAAGCAUCAGGUAACAUCAAAUCGUACCCCAAACCGACACAGGUGGUCAGGUAGAGAAUACCAAGGCGCUUGAGAGAACUCGGGUGAAGGAACUAGGCAAAAUGGUGCCGUAACUUCGGGAGAAGGCACGCUGACACGUAGGUGAAGUGAUUUACUCAUGGAGCUGAAGUCAGUCGAAGAUACCAGCUGGCUGCAACUGUUUAUUAAAAACACA
rnacentral:rRNA from 1 species